rnacentral:rRNA from 1 species
AAAAAGCACCGGCUAACUACGUGCCAGCAGCCGCGGUAAUACGUAGGGUGCAAGCGUUAUCCGGAAUUAUUGGGCGUAAAGAGCUCGUAGGCGGUUUGUCGCGUCUGCUGUGAAAACUGGGGGCUCAACCCCCAGCCUGCAGUGGGUACGGGCAGACUAGAGUGCGGUAGGGGAGAUUGGAAUUCCUGGUGUAGCGGUGGAAUGCGCAGAUAUCAGGAGGAACACCGAUGGCGAAGGCAGAUCUCUGGGCCGUAACUGACGCUGAGGAGCGAAAGCAUGGGGAGCGAACAGGAUUAGAUACCCUGGUAGUCCAUGCCGUAAACGUUGGGAACUAGAUGUAGGGUCCAUUCCACGGAUUCUGUGUCGCAGCUAACGCAUUAAGUUCCCCGCCUGGGGAGUACGGCCGCAAGGCUAAAACUCAAAGGAAUUGACGGGGGCCCGCACAAGCGGCGGAGCAUGCGGAUUAAUUCGAUGCAACGCGAAGAACCUUACCAAGGCUUGACAUAUACCGGAAACGUCUGGAAACAGUCGCCCCGCAAGGUCGGUAUACAGGUGGUGCAUGGUUGUCGUCAGCUCGUGUCGUGAGAUGUUGGGUUAAGUCCCGCAACGAGCGCAACCCUCGUUCUUUGUUGCCAGCACGUAAUGGUGGGAACUCAAAGGAGACUGCCGGGGUCAACUCGGAGGAAGGUGGGGAUGACGUCAAAUCAUCAUGCCCCUUAUGUCUUGGGCUUCACGCAUGCUACAAUGGCCGGUACAAAGGGCUGCAAUACCGUAAGGUGGAGCGAAUCCCAAAAAGCCGGUCUCAGUUCGGAUUGAGGUCUGCAACUCGACCUCAUGAAGUCGGAGUCGCUAGUAAUCGCAGAUCAGCAACGCUGCGGUGAAUACGUUCCCGGGCCUUGUACACACCGCCCGUCAAGUCAUGAAAGUCGGUAACACCCGAAGCCAGUGGCCCAACCGCAAGGAGGGAGC